rnacentral:tRNA from 1 species
CGGGCUGUAGUAUAAAGGUUAUUAUGUGCGCUCGGGGAGCGUACGAUCCCGGUUCAAUUCCGGGCAGCCCGACCA